rnacentral:lncRNA from 1 species
CAGGAAUCAAGCGGAAUAUCUUAUUCUGAUCUUGCUACUAACUCUGGAAAGAGCUUUACAAAGCUGUCAUGUGAAUUUCAAAGAAUAGGUCAGAACAACAUGAAUAAUCCUUAACGUGAAAAUCUGCAACUAGAUAAAGAUCACAGAUGGAAGAUGCCAGUGUUUGCAUAGCAUUCCCUUGAAUUCUGUCUAUUCAAAGAAGGAGAAAAUUCCAGUUUGCUUGGAAGGAUGCCUAGUUGGUAUCAAAAUACUGGAAACGGGUAAUAAGAGUUCUCCCAGUGAUGCAGGAAGUAAAUAAGUACAAAGGCUGCUGCAGAAGAUCCCCUUGAAGACUACCUACCAGAAUCAGAUCCAGAGAGUGGCUGACAAUUUUGAUAAUGUUUUGCAUUAUGGCAUGCAAAGGUCCUUUGAUUUCCACAGCUGCUAACUAGGCCUGAGCAGUGGCCAGCUUUUUGAGCUACUCAACUUUUCAGUGAGCUUUCCAGACCAAGUAAACUGUGGGCAAUAGUCUAUGUGAAAAAAGGAACCACUGAUGUCGCACGGGUAAGACUGAACACAUAUAGUAUGGAUGCUGUUUGUGGGUUUAUGUUUUCAUUCAGUAUUUUUAUUUGAUGCAGUUAGUUUGUACCAUGUGUUCUAUUCCAGUACCAUUCAGAAGUAAUGGAAUAUAGGUAGCUUUUAGAAAGAUGAAAUUCUAUGAAAGCUGGGGGAAAAUACCUGGUAAGUUUCACAUUCCCAGAAAUGCACAGGAAAAUUCUUGCAAGGAUCUUAGUAUUUUAACUAUUUCCUCAGAAAAAGAGCUCUCAUCAAAAAUUAAGCUUUUUUAGAACUGUUUGUUGUUGUUUUUUUCCUAGCAACAUACCAGUCAGUGAUUUGCUGCGUGCUUCCCUAUGUGGCUUGUUUCAUUUCUAAUAGUCUGAUUUGGGUUACCCAUGGCCACUGCUCUCAAAAAAGUUAUGGUUGGAUAUCCUUUCUUUUUUGCUAUUCAGUAAAAAAUGCAUCCAGGGCAUUAGAAAAUCUUAACAGUAUUGUUGUCCACAAAGCUAUUCAGUAGUUGACUUGUCUUGUUUUAAACGGGGCCCUAUUUUACCCAAGGUAUCAGACCAUGCCUGGCAGGUUAUAUGUGGGAUGCUUCAGAAAGCGUGGCUAAGCAGAGUUGGGAACGUCUGAGGAAGCUAAUCCUGUUUGAUAGAGAGAACUGUGGUAGUCAUCACCUAGCAAUGCAAAAAUAUGCUCACUCUGGAAGAUUAAAACCUUAAGACCGGUACUUGUUGAAGCGGUCACUAAGUGUACGAAGACUAGUGAAAACAGUCACUGAAUGCAUCUCUUCUUCAGCCUGUUUGAAAUAGAUAAAGGCACAAGAGCGAGACGAGCUUUUAAACCGAACGCUUGCAGCCUACUUGGAGCACUCACAAUCAGUGCAGACGUAGUCUUCAAUUCUGAUUUUAGUUUUCUCAAGGUGGCCUUGGAGGGAGCAAAUUCACCAGUUCUUACACCUACUGUGCCUGCACCCUCGGCCCAGUGCUCUGGGAUGUGGUAGGAAGGAG